rnacentral:rRNA from 1 species
GAUGAACGCUGGCGGCGUGCCUAAUACAUGCAAGUCGAGCGAACGGACGAGAAUCUUGCUUCUCUGAUGUUAGCGGCGGACGGGUGAGUAACACGUGGAUAACCUACCUAUAAGACUGGGAUAACUUCGGGAAACCGUAGCUAAUACCGGAUAAUAUUUUGAACCGCAUGGUUCAAAAGUGAAAGACGGUCUUGCUGUCACUUAUAGAUGGUUCCGCGCUGCAUUAGCUAGUUGGUAAGGUAACGGCUUACCAAGGCAACGAUGCAUAGCCGACCUGAGAGAGUGAUCGGCCACACUGGAACUGAGACACGGUCCAGACUCCUACGGGAGGCAGCAGUAGGGAAUCUUCCGCAAUGGGCGAAAGCAUGACGGAGCAACGCCGCGUGAGUGAUGAAGGUCUUCGGAUCGUAAAACUCUGUUAUUAGGGAAGAACAUAUGUGUAAGUAACUGUGCACAUAUUGACGGUACCUAAUCAGAAAGCCACGGCUAACUACGUG